GUCACUGUGGUCAAAUGUGUAGGAUGCCAGAGUGGAAGUCAGGAGGCCUGGGUUCUAGUCCCAGUUCUGGCA
rnacentral:tRNA from 1 species